rnacentral:rRNA from 1 species
AUGGCUCGGCCGCUCCUGGCAGUGGCCGCCGCGCUCAUGCUCCUGCUGUUUGCCGCCGCCGGCGCCCAUGGCUUCGAGAUCGAGGAGGCGACCGUGGCCAGCAUCCAGCUCGGCUUCAACAACGGCAGCCUCACCUCCGUGGACCUCGUCCGGUUCUACCUGGACCGCAUCCGCGGCCUCAACCCGCUCCUCCGCGCCGUCAUCGAGGUCAACCCGGGCACGGUCCAGCAGGCCGCGCGCGCCGACGCAGAGCGCCGCUCCUCCUCGUCCGGCAAAUGCGGGGCCCUGCACGGCGUGCCCGUCCUGCUCAAGGACAACAUCGCCACCCGCGACACGCUCAACACCACGGCCGGCUCCUUUGCGCUCCUCGGCUCUGUGGCCAGGCGGGACGCCGGCGUGGUGCGUCGGCUGCGGCGGGCCGGCGCCGUGGUGCUCGGCAAGGCCAACAUGGACGAGUGGGCCAACUUCUGCAGCCUCGCCGGCACCGACGGCUGGAGCGCGCGCGGCGGCCAGGCCCGGAACCCGUACGUGCUGUCGGCGAGCCCGUGUGGGUCGAGCACGGGGUCGACCAUUGCGGCGGCGGCGAGCAUGGCGGCGGUGACGCUGGGGACGGAGACGGACGGCUCAAUACUGUGCCCGGCGUCGCUGAACUCGGUGGUGGGGAUCAAGCCCACGGUGGGGUUGACCAGCCGGGCUGGGGUCGUCCCCAUCACACCACGCCAAGACACCAUCGGGCCGAUUUGCCGCACCGUGACGGAUGCGGUGCACGUGUUGGACGCCAUUGUUGGCUAUGAUGAGCUCGAUGGGGCAGCCAUGAGCGCAGCUUCCAAGUACAUCCCUCAUGAGGACAGAUGGACUAAACGGGAAGAGGAUCGGCGUUCCUAA